CCUAAAGCCAGCCGGAACUGGAGCAGCCUGUCUGCCCCAAAACUACCAACCAUGAAGAAGAGAACGAACCAAAUCACAGUGGGAAUACAUUGACUUUGAGAAAGAAAGAAAAAAAGAAAGAAAGAAAGUGACAUCAAUGCCAAUACUGAUUAACUCUGUUCUACAGUAAAGGCUUGAGACGACGCCAAUAUAUGAAGCAGAGUGGCCCUGUCAUUUGGAAUGUCCUUUCCACCAAUUUGGAGGAGUGCAGAACUGGGCGGAGUACAGUGGGGCUGUUCUUCUUCUUUUCCGCUGAUUUCUUACAUCUCUUGAUUGCUAAUUGUGUGAUUGCGGAAGAAGGCUACACAAAACCGUGCUACUGUUUACUACAACCACUGGAGAAACCAUGCACAAACAAACAACACAGGAUCUGAGCCUCUUCUACAGUCAUUCCUGAAGAUCUAUGGAGCACAUUCAUAUAGCAGAACAAUGUGUGAUGGGAUGGCAAAGCCAUUUCUAGUCCAACAUUUCUAGUUUAAACUGCACACAUAAUAUUGCCAGAUCAAUGUAUAAUUGGCCCUGCAGCUGCUGUUCACAAAGAAAAUAGAUUUUUUUUUUUUUUUUUUUGUACAUAACGACAUGAACUGAAUUGGGUCAUAAUUGUGUUUCUCAAGUAUUGUGAGAAAUAGCUAUUGAGCUUUACACAUUACACACACACACACACACAGCCCCGGUGUUGUAAUACAGUAGAGCUGUUAUACUAAGAGCAAGAGCAAUACAGCUGAAAGAACAAAUGCCUGGACUUCAUAUAUUAAAAAAAAGAGAGAAAUAAACAUGAACUAUUAACAUUUGCAUACAAUGAUCAUAAAAUAAUGAAUUUAUUUGCACUUUC